AUUGAACGCUGGCGGCAGGCCUAACACAUGCAAGUCGAGCGGAUGAGAGGAGCUUGCUCCUUGAUUUAGCGGCGGACGGGUGAGUAAUGCCUAGGAAUCUGCCUGGUAGUGGGGGAUAACGUUCCGAAAGGAACGCUAAUACCGCAUACGUCCUACGGGAGAAAGCAGGGGACCUUCGGGCCUUGCGCUAUCAGAUGAGCCUAGGUCGGCUUAGCUAGUUGGUGAGGUAAUGGCUCACCAAGGCGAGGAUCCGUAACUGGUCUGAGAGGAUGAUCAGUCCCACUGGAACUGAGAAACGGUCCAGACUCCUACGGGAGGCAGCAGUGGGGAAUAUUGGACAAUGGGCGAAAGCCUGGUCCAGCCAUGCCGCGUGUGUGAAGAAGGUCUUCGGAUUGUAAAGCACUUUAAGUUGGGAGGAAGGGCAUUAACCUAAUACGUUAGUGUUUUGACGGUACCGUAAGAAUAAGCACCGGCUAACUACGUGCCAGCAGCCGCAGUAACAC
rnacentral:rRNA from 1 species